AACGAACGCUGGCGGCAGGCUUAACACAUGCAAGUCGAACGCCCCGCAAGGGGAGUGGCGCACGGGUGAGUAACGCGUGGGAAUAUGCCCUUCGGUUCGGAAUAACACAGGGAAACUUGUGCUAAUACCGGAUACGAUCUACGGAUGAAAGAUUUAUCGCCGAGGGAGUAGCCCGCGUAGGAUUAGCUAGUUGGUGAGGUAAUGGCUCACCAAGGCGACGAUCCUUAGCUGGUCUGAGAGGAUGAUCAGCCACACUGGGACUGAGACACGGCCCAGACUCCUACGGGAGGCAGCAGUGGGGAAUAUUGGACAAUGGGCGAAAGCCUGAUCCAGCCAUGCCGCGUGAGUGAUGAAGGCCUUAGGGUUGUAAAGCUCUUUCGCCAGGGAAGAUAAUGACGGUACCUGGAAAAGAAGCCUCGGCUAACUCCGUGCCAGCAGCCGCGGUAAU
rnacentral:rRNA from 1 species